rnacentral:lncRNA from 1 species
CUCUCAAGAGCUCAAUGGAGUCCCGUUUCAAGGUAAGUUGUGCGGAGAGGUACACUCAACACUGGCGGCGAAGGGAAAUGCAAGAAGCAAAAAGAAAUGUGGAGACAGCAACGUGGGAGGGUUGGAACUGUACUAUCAGAGUUUGCGAUAUGGCACAAUCUCCUUUCCUCUUAAAUCUUUCAGCUUCAGAUAGAUUCAUUUCCUUUGCCAUCACUGCUGCAUCUAUGGCAUAUUUCUUUAUAACAUUAAACUCUGUCCGAGGCACAUGCCUUUUUGAAAGGAAUUCCUUUACCUAUUUACAACUAGUCGACAUCUUUGAGAAUGCCGGAAAAAGAAGACACAGACCUGGGUGAAACUCAAAGCAAGAAGAAAGAAAAACAGUUUGAUGAAAUGGAGUCAAGGGGGAAAAGACAGAAAGAGUAGAUGUAUGAAUAACAGAAGAUUGGGUUUGUAGUCUGCCUUCAAUCUCUUCCCCCUCAUCCCCAGCUUCAUACAGAGAAAUAAACUUUAAAUGAAUACAAUUUGGGGAAAGUAUAAUACUGUUUGAUUUAAUCAGACUUACCUAUGAAGUGAAUUGUCUUUCUUUCUUGUUACCACACUCUUAAAUUAAUACUGAAUUAGUUGCGUAUGCUCAUAUAAUUUCAGUAUGUUGAAGUAAAUCUUUACCAUUACAAUUAUAUAAGUGCCUUCUAACUAGGUGGAAAUUAAUACUUUGUUUUAUUGUUUGGUACAUGUUUAUAUCCACAAGAAAUAUUUGUAGAUAACUGCGGUAUAUUUUCCAAAAUGAUAAGGACAGGUGUGGAAAGCUGGUAGUGAUACGGAGUAAUAAAAAUCUAGCAUGUGUAUUAUGUAAAAAAACUACAUAGAAAAUAGUAAACUUGUUCAUUCAAAUGCAAAUUGAUAAAUUCUGUAGAUUCAGUAUUUAUGGGUUUUUUCCAGCUUGGGCAGAGGGACAAAAUAUUAUUCAAAGUAUUGUCAUCCCUAACAUGUUGUCUUUUUAUGUAGGUAACAUGGACUUAAAUUAUUUUUAAAAAAUGAAAGUAUCUUAAAAUGCUGUUUUACUUCCUCAUUUAAACAGAUGUUUUUACAUUUCAAAACUUUUAAUUGGAUAGAGGUAUCAUAAGCAACAUGUACUUUUUCAACUUUUAAAAAUAAAAAAAUAUUGAUUACAGCCACUUUAAAACAAAAGUUAUAUCUGGAUGUAGAUUUCACUUUGAAAUUCAUGUGUCAUAGCUUGAAACAUUAACAAAUACAUACUAUCCUGUGAUUAAUUAAUGAAGGCUGUGUGCAAAUAUCUCAUUUUAGAAUAAGCAAAAAAUACAGUCAACCCCUCUUCACUCAUGGUUAGGUAAAAGAAUUAUCCGUAACAUCUGAACUGGCACUAGAUAAGCACUUAAAAGACAUUUGAGUAUGAUUAAGUCAUAUGAACUCUGAUAUAUCU